rnacentral:rRNA from 1 species
AUUGAACGCUGGCGGCAUGCUUUACACAUGCAAGUCGAACGGUAACAGGUUAAGCUGACGAGUGGCGAACGGGUGAGUAAUGCAUCGGAACGUGCCCGAUCGUGGGGGAUAACGCAGCGAAAGCUGCGCUAAUACCGCAUACGAUCUGAGGAUGAAAGCGGGGGACCGUAAGGCCUCGCGCGAUCGGAGCGGCCGAUGUCAGAUUAGGUAGUUGGUGGGGUAAAGGCUCACCAAGCCAACGAUCUGUAGCUGGUCUGAGAGGACGACCAGCCACACUGGGACUGAGACACGGCCCAGACUCCUACGGGAGGCAGCAGUGGGGAAUUUUGGACAAUGGGCGAAAGCCUGAUCCAGCAAUGCCGCGUGCAGGAAGAAGGCCUUCGGGUUGUAAACUGCUUUUGUACGGAGCGAAAAGGUUCUCUCUAAUACAGAGGGCUCAUGACGGUACCGUAAGAAUAAGCACCGGCUAACUACGUGCCAGCCGCCGCCGUAACAC